GACGAAGGGGGCUAGCGUUGUUCGGAAUUACUGGGCGUAAAGCGCGUGUAGGCGGUUGUUCAAGUCAGGUGUGAAAGCCUUGAGCUCAACUCAAGAAAUGCACUUGAUACUGGAUGACUAGAGGACCGGAGAGGAUAGUGGAAUUCCCAGUGUAGUGGUGAAAUACGUAGAGAUUGGGAAGAACACCAGUGGCGAAGGCGGCUAUCUGGACGGUUUCUGACG
rnacentral:rRNA from 1 species